UACGUAGGGGGCAAGCGUUAGUCGGACUUACUGGGCGUAAAGCGUGCGCCGGUGGUUGUGUAAGCUUGAUGUGAAUUCCCCGGGCUUAACCUGGGAAUGGCAUUGAGGACUGCACGGCUAGAGUGCGUCAGAGGGGGGUGGAAUUCCGCGUGUAGCAGUGAAAUGCGUAGAGAUGCGGAGGAACACCGAUGGCGAAGGCAGCCCACUGGGAUGACACUGACACUCAUGCUCGAAAGCGUGGUGAGCAAACAGG
rnacentral:rRNA from 1 species